GAUGCAGGGCGACCCCGGGACAGCCAGCAGUGAUGGGCUCCUGCAGCUGCUGUGGGAUCUCCUGUCUCAGAAGGACCUUUCCCUGGGGGCUUCUUCCCACUGAGUCAGUCCCGGUAACAUCAACAAGCAGUGCUACUUCAGUGACUGGAGGAGUCACCAGGGCUGAGUGCUCCUUUCCCCUCAGCUGAGUCGUCACCAUGGCUUUCUAUUUCCAGCGUACUGCAGCACAAAUGCGUUUUACUGGGAUGAUGUCCUCCACUGGAAAACAUCCAGAGAAGCCCAGCAAAGAGGAAGAGAGGUAAGCAGAGGAGCACGAGUGGGGAUGCAGUAAUACGGGCAUCAAUGGAAACUGUUUUCCAGCAGAUGAA